GAAAAUCGCUCAUGAAUACAAAAAUUUGAAUGUAAACAGGAAGUUCUUUGUUCAUGUUGUUGGAGGCAAAUGGAAUAAAGCUAACUUGAAACUCUAAAAUGUUUUUAGAGGGAUAUAUCAGAUGAAAGAGUGUACAUAUUUAGUUAUUAGAAGUAAUGCCUUCAACACAUAUGUAUGAACUGAUGUAGUCAGAGAAAUCAGAUGGCUUCAGUGACUAUGCUACAGGAUGAUAUGAGAUCACAGACAGAAAACCCAUCAAACAUAAAUUACAGAAUAUUUCAACUAAAUUAAAUGGCUGGAAUGAAGGUCCUGACCCUGGUGAUGGUUUUGGAAAAGCAAAGAGACAUUCUGAUGCCACCUUAAAUUGGGCCUACAAUACUCCAAAAAUGAUUGUGUUGUAUUCAUAACUUUCUAUCAAAUAAUUUUUUUAUUUGAUAUAUCUUUUAGUUUAAUUUUUAAGU